rnacentral:rRNA from 1 species
AUUGAACGCUGGCGGCAGGCCUAACACAUGCAAGUCGAACGAGUGGCGGACGGGUGAGUAAUGUCUGGGAAACCGCCUGAUGGAGGGGGAUAACUACUGGAAACUGUAGCUAAUACCGCAUACCAUCAGAUGCGCCCAGAUGGGAUUAGAUAGUAGGUGGGGUAACGGCUCACCAAGGCGACGAUCCCUAGCUGGUCUGAGAGGAUGACCAGCCACACUGGAACUGAGACACGGUCAAGACUCCUACGGGAGGCAGCAGUGGGGAAUAUUGCACAAUGGGCGCAAGCCUGAUGCAGCCAUGCCGCGUGUAUGAAGAAGGCCUUCGGGUUGUAAAGUACUUUCAGCGAGGAGGCGUUACUCGCAGAAGAAGCACCGGCUAACUCCGUGCCAGCAGCCGCGGUAAUUC